ensembl:lncRNA BASP1-AS1 BASP1 antisense RNA 1
GAUGGAGCUGCAGGUUGUCCUCAGGAUGGUUCUGCCCUCAGGACCUGGGCGUGAAUUCAGGGACAGGGUGGCCCUCCAGAACCGGAGUGACAAACUGUAACCAUACUUAGGGAGGCAGACGUCAAAGGCAAGUACAUCUGUAUUCAACUGGGUAAAGCCAUGUGAAGACGUGCCUGCCUCCCUGUUACCUUCCACCAUGAUUGUAAGCUUCCUGAGGCCUCCCCAGCCAUGCCUGCUGUAUAGCCUGCAGAACAGAUUAAUGAAAAUAAAACGCAGACCUUAUAAGCAGACGCUGUGAUUUUGUAAUAAAGAGGGGCAGCUUUUACAGGAAAAAGAACCCGAGGGAAGCUGUUGGCAGUCUGUGAAACGACGGUCAUGGUGGAAUUCGUUUUUCUGCACAUUAGAUGUUUAAAACAGCUGGUUUUCGUUGUUGUUGUUGUUGUUGUUUUCCUGAAAGAAUCUUGUUCCCCACAAUAUGUUCUUGGUAUUCAAAAUGGCUUUUGCUCCUACUUUUUGGAAAAUGCACUUCAGUUUCCAAUUUA